rnacentral:rRNA from 1 species
CUAUGCGCCUUGCCAGCCCGCUCAGGUGUGCCAGCAGCCGCGGUAAUACGGAGGAUGCGAGCGUUAUCCGGAUUUAUUGGGUUUAAAGGGUGCGUAGGCGGAAUAUCAAGUCAGCGGUAAAAAUUCGGGGCUCAACCCCGUCGUGCCGUUGAAACUGAUGUUCUUGAGUGGGCGAGAAGUAUGCGGAAUGCGUGGUGUAGCGGUGAAAUGCAUAGAUAUCACGCAGAGCUCCGAUUGCGAAGGCAGCAUACCGGCGCCCAACUGACGCUGAAGCACGAAAGCGUGGGUAUCGAACAGG